UGCCCGCAGCCCAGGAUUCCUCCCAAGCUAUGUCCUAUCUGUGCAGGGACCCACUAGAAGGCAGACUGCCCAGCUCGCCCGGCAGCCACUCCUAGAGCCCCUAAAGCUCUAGCCCAAGGCUCUCUGACCGACUCCUUCUCAGAUCUGCUCGGCUUAGCGACUGAAGAUUGACGCUGCCCGAUCACCUCGGAAGCCCCCCGGACCAUCAUGGACGCCAAGCUUCAGGUAACUCUCACAGUGGAGGACUCAGCCCGCCUGCACCCAGGUGAAAUAAAC
rnacentral:lncRNA from 1 species